rnacentral:rRNA from 1 species
AGUGAACGCUGGCGGUAGGCCUAACACAUGCAAGUCGAACGGCAGCACAGAGGAGCUUGCUCCUUGGGUGGCGAGUGGCGGACGGGUGAGGAAUACAUCGGAAUCUACUCUGUCGUGGGGGAUAACGUAGGGAAACUUACGCUAAUACCGCAUACGACCUACGGGUGAAAGCAGGGGAUCUUCGGACCUCGCGCGAUUGAAUGAGCCGAUGUCGGAUUAGCUAGUUGGCGGGGUAAAGGCCCACCAAGGCGACGAUCCGUAGCUGGUCUGAGAGUAGGAGCAGCCACACUGGAACUGAGACACGGUCCAGACUCCUACGGGAGGCAGCAGUGGGGAAUGUUGGACAAUGGGCGCAAGCCUGAUCCAGCCAUACCGCGUGGGUGAAGAAGGCCUUCGGGUUGUAAAGCCCUUUUGUUGGGAAAGAAAUCCAUCUGGUUAAUACCCGGGUGGGAUGACGGUACCCAAAGAAUAAGCACCGGCUAACUUCGUGCCAGCCGCCGCCGUAA